rnacentral:rRNA from 1 species
UACGGAGGGUGCAAGCGUUAAUCGGAAUUACUGGGCGUAAAGCGUGCGUAGACGGUUACAUAAGUCUGCUGUGAAAGCCCCGGGCUCAACCUGGGAAUGGCAGUGGAUACUGGCAAGCUAGAGUGCGGUAGAGGGUAGUGGAAUUCCCGGUGUAGCGGUGAAAUGCGUAGAGAUCGGGAGGAACACCAGUGGCGAAGGCGGCUACCUGGACCAGCACUGACACUGAGGCACGAAAGCGUGGGGAGCAAACAGG